GAGGAUUACAGGGCGUCAGGUUGGCCAACAUGGACUCUUUUAGUGGGGAAACAAAAUGUUCCUCUCAGCACAAAGCCGCUCUAAUCCUGCCUCCUCUUCCCCCACGGCACAGCCUGAUUACAGAAAGCUGACAGGCCGGAAGACGGACGUUUCGGCAGACAGACGGGCUGAAAGAUUGACAGAUGGACGGGCAGGUUUGCUGUAUUUAAGCCAAGCUGGUCUCGUUGUUUGGUUGGUUAACAGACUGAUUAGUUUCUGGUUUACUCACUAACUUACUGAACCACCAGCUUUCCUGCUGCACUGGCUGCUUUCUACUAACUGACUCAGAUAAAACUGAUCCAGUUUCCAGACUCAUUGGGUAUCGCCUGAGCAGCUGUGGCCCGUCAGUACAACCAUAGUUUGGUUCUGCUAACCUGGCAAAUAAAUCCUGGGCACUGAUGUGGUCUGAAAGACAUAAACCUUAAAGAUGAUCCCAUUUCCUAAGGUUCCUUCCAAGCCUUGGCGUCUGCAUCCCUCAGCCCUCUUUGCCUCGCAGCAUCUUCAGUUCCUCCUCUGCACACAUCCAACCCAUCUCAACCUCGGCUCCAACUUUCUCCCCAGACCACUCAGCAUCUCUAUUAUUUAUCUCUUUUAUCACAAGAAAGAAAAUGCAGCUUGGGAAGCCAACUUAUCUAGAUGCAAUUAUACUUGACACUGUUGGUUGUUGUUUUCAAAUCCAGGAGUGGCAAUCAUUGUCCUUUCUGCUGAGUGUCUGGAUCGCAGAGCGUAGAGAUAAGGAAGACUGCAAAUGUUGGCUUCUGUGGUAGUGCUAAGAUGGUUUCCAUUCUGCAUGCUAGGAUAUAUUUGGUGUUUGAACUAUUAAAAAGGCAGUUAUAAAUUAUUUCAGAGGGAGUCUCAAGUAUUUGUAGAGUUCAUCUGUUUGUGCCCAGCAGCGGUCCAUAACUGCCACCAGGAUCAGAGAUCCACUGCGACACAAACAUCAGAUUUAAACGAUGGUUUCACUGAAGCUACACAACCAUCCCUGGUUCUGUGAAAGAAGGAAUCACCAUUUAAACCAGAGUUUGGUUUUGAGCCAUGAUGGAGUUUUUUCUAGUGAAGGGAUGAGGAUCAAUACAGACUCAUAAAAGAGCAGCUUCAGUCUUACAGAUGAUGCUGUGGUGUUAUAGAAAUGUCAGCUUUAACUGCCUACACAUAUCUCACCAUCUUCGACCUGUUCAGUUUGAUCACCUGUCUCAUCAGCUCCUGGGUGACGAUGAAGAAGCCCAGUCAGGUCUACUCAUUCGGGUUUGAAAGGUUGGAGGUUUUGGCCGUUUUUGCCUCUACUGUCCUGGUCCAGCUGGGAGCUCUGUUCAUCCUGAAGGAAAGUGUGGAGCGCUUCGUGGAGCAGCCGGAGA